GAGGAAGAGAACCCAGGUGACGCGGAGGACUCGAUGGGGUUUCGUCGGCGGCUGAGAAAAGAAUACGUAGUUGAGGAACAUAACCCCGGUGACACGGAGGACUUGACGACGUUUCGUCGGCGGCCGGCAAAAGAACACGUAGUGGAAGAGACAAGCCCUGAGGAGAGUCCUGAUGAACGAUACCCGAGCCAACGCCACAACUGUAAUUCAUAAUUGGAGUACCUUUUUCUGGUGAGGGAUGUGUUUGAAGGUAUUGGCGAGAUGGAACAGCUUUUGGGGUCGUGCUUUGGAAACCUUUCCAGGUUGCCAGU